AUACGUAGGGUGCGAGCGUUGUCCGGAAUUACUGGGCGUAAAGAGCUCGUAGGUGGUUUGUCGCGUCGUCUGUGAAAUUCCGGGGCUUAACUCCGGGCGUGCAGGCGAUACGGGCAUAACUUGAGUACUGUAGGGGAGACUGGAAUUCCUGGUGUAGUGGUGAAAUGCGCAGAUAUCAGGAGGAACACCGGUGGCGAAGGCGGGUCUCUGGGCAGUAACUGACGCUGAGGAGCGAAAGCAUGGGUAGCGAACAGGAUUAGAUACCCUGGUAGUCCAUGCCGUAAACGGUGGGCGCUAGGUGUAGGGGUCUUCCACGACUUCUGUGCCGUAGCUAACGCAUUAAGCGCCCCGCCUGGGGAGUACGGCCGCAAGGCUAAAACUUAAAGGAAUUGACGGGG
rnacentral:rRNA from 1 species